rnacentral:ncRNA from 1 species
CCUGAGAUACUCAGGUCGGGAUGUGAUCUCUCACGGGAUUGAACCAGGAA